CUCGUUGGUUUCGCCCCGUGCGGGCCAUAGCGACGGCGGUGUGCUGAGGGAAGAUGGCGGCUCCGGCCUCUGCAGUGCUGCCGGCUCCGUGAGCGCGGCGCUCGCUCCUUUCCCCCUUCCCCUCCUCGCUUUUGCACCCCGUCCCUCCCGGCUGCCCUCCGCCUCUUCUCCUUCCCCGCCGGGGGCGUAGGGACCAUGUCGGAGUCGGAGGAGGAGGAGAGUCCGGACCACCAGCUCAAGCUAGUGGUGCUGGGGGACGGCACCACUGGCAAGACAUCCUUAGCUACACGUUUUGCUCAAGAAACAUUUGGAAAACAGUACAGACAAACCAUAGGAUUGGACUUCUUCUUGAAAAGGAUAAUAUUGCCAGGAAAUUUGAAUGUUACUCUUCAAGUGUGGGAUGUAGGGGGACAAACGAUAGGAGGCAAAAUGCUGGAUAAAUAUAUUUAUGGAGCUCAGGCUGUUCUCUUGGUUUAUGAUAUUACCAACAGCCAGAGUUUUGAAAAUUUAGAAGACUGGUAUAAUGCAGUAAAAAAAGUGAAUGAAGAAUCAGAAACACAGCCACUUGUGGCCUUGGUUGGAAAUAAAAUUGACUUGGAGCAUAUGCGCGCAGUGAAAGUUGACAAGCACCAGCGGUUUUGUCAGGAAAACAAUUUCAGUAGCCAUUUCGUGUCAGCCAAGACAGGAGAUUCUGUCUUCCUGUGUUUUCAGAGAAUUGCUGCUGACAUACUUGGCAUCAAAUUAAACAAAGCGGAAUUGGAACAAUCACAGGGUGAAGUUGAGCAGUUUAGCUUAAACUGCUGCUGAAAGUUGUUUUUAAGUGAAGCUGCCAGACUUUGUGCUGAAGCGGAUGAGGUGCAACUACAUGUUACAUUCCACCAGCUCUCCUUUGGCGGCAGUGAUCUCCAGCAGAGGAAUAGGACAGACAUUUGGGGGUGAGGGUGGUGAAAGCAGAUAUUGUCAACUACAGUCAGGAGCCUGUGACAAGAACCGUUAAUCCUCCUAGAAGCUCAAUGUGUGCAGUGCAAUGACCGUGCUAUUCUCUGUUUUGAUACCUUCGGCAGUUGUCCUACCCUGACACAGGCUCUGGGAUUACCAAGAACUUUAACAGUGACUGUCACAACAAUGCAAUUAGAGGCUUCACAAAUGUGUUACACCGUUGUACAUUGAGAAGCAGCAGGCAGGCAGUUUUUGUACUGGCUAAAAUUCAAACAUGAGACCACACACUUUGAAAAAUUAAGAUCUGUAUUCUUUUAAAUUAUAUUUAAAUAAAACAGUAUAACUGUGUUUAUAUAUUUUUUUUUUUUUUUUCUUAUUUGACUGAUACCGGAAUAAAAAUGGAUGAAGAAGUCCUGCAUUUAAAAUACUUUUAAGGACAUCACCAUGGAAGGGUAUUUUGCCAAAGCAUUUUUAAAAUUUUUUUCUUUUUUUUUCUCCUGUGAUCUGCACUAACACUCAGUAAAAUGUAACUUGGAAAAGGUAUUGCUGGAAUAAUUUCAAGCAGAUAAUGUAUUUUAUCUAGGGGUAAUUUGGAAAGUAUUCCAUUAAUAUAUGUACAUAGUGCAAAAUGUAUAAAUUGUAUCCACUAAGAAACAGUGCUUGAAAUAGAGCUGUAAUUAUAAAAAUAGUUUCUAAAGUCUCCAGUUGUCUCAAUGGAUACUCUGGAAAAUGCUAGUGCUUUUGUGUAUUUUUAUUACCACAUAAGCAUUAAUUCUUGCAGUAGUAGAUAUGCUUAUAUGUCUUCAUGAAUAUGGAUGAAGCUCGGUCAACAGUUUGGGCUGUAAAUGUUGAGUGAUGUAUUCAGCAUGCAUUAGAAACUGUUGAUAGAUCAAUUAGGAUCAGUCAUUUUUUAUAACUAAAGGAAUGACUUUUGGCCUGGUACUCUUUUCUUUCUAGUUCAGAGUAAAUGACUAAAAAGCUGUCUGCUCCGCGAUCAUCACAUUUCUCCUCUGUUCCUUUGCUGGCAGUCUCUUUUAGAUGUGUAGUUCUCUGCUGGCACAUCUGAACAGAAAGCUAAGGAGAAAAAAAAAAUUAAGCCAGCUUGAUUCCAAACUAGAAAUCUUUUCUAAACUAGAAAUAUUCUUCGUGAUUUAACUCUAGAAUGCGUUUUCUUAUAAAGUACAACAAAGCAUUUCAAGAUUUAAAGAAUUAAUGAGGCUGAGUGAAGGAAGCUUAUAUAGCACGAGUGAAAAUGAUAAGUUUCCUCAUGUAAGUGUUCCUAUUAAGUUGUUCAAGCAAGUGCUUAAUAGUUGGAACUACUAAACUCUAAUAAAAUAGUUGAACUAUCAUGUUAAAGGAAAGAUUGCAGAUGGCAAGAUUGUGCUUUUUGUUAUUAUUUUGGCAUAUUCCAGGUUCAUUGAAAAGCUAAGUUCGUUUCUAAACCAUUCAAAUGCAGCUUGACACAGUUUUAUAGCUACAUGAGGAUGACUUACUCUUUUAAUAUUUUAUCAUUCAAGUGUGGGAAAUUCUAAGAAACAAGCUGAGAUACUGAGAAAUUAUUCUACACUAAGGUAGGUGUGAAUUUACAGUAAGGGUUACAGUCUGUGUUCUUGGUCUUGUCCUGUGGAGUUCAUGUCCCACUGCAUAGUUGUGCCUUAUGGUUAAGCGCGACUGAACGGUGAACUGUGUCUUCCAGUACCACCAGAUGGGAACUUCUGUUCAAGCAGUUUCUCUGAAGUAGCUGGUAAGUUUACAAGGUUAUGCCCUCCAAAGCAUGUGGUGUAAGGUUUUUCGAACCCUCAGAUUUCUUGGUGUGUUUGUGUCCUGAACUCUGCCCAAUAUGUUCAAAUAUUCAUGAGAACUUCCCUUUCCCUGAGGAGCUGAGCAUGACCUGGCUUAGCUGGAUGGCUAGAGCCAUCUUUCUCUCGUGCAUGUGAGCAAGCUUCCCAAGUGAUAAGUAGCGUGGUCUUAAAAACUGAACAGUGCUUUUCUUUUAAACUUCCAUAAUCUUAACGUUUCAGAAGAAAUGCUUUUUAUAACUUGUAAUGCAGAGCCCAUUAUUACCUGAAAUAAUAAAAAAAUUUUGCUUUUAUACUUGGGCUAAUCUUGCAGUACGAAGGCUGUGAUACAUGUCCCAGUCCAAGGUAUUUUACAAACAGAUUUUAUGUCUCCAUUUCAUCAUGAUCUUUUAUUCUCAUGCCUGUUUCUCUAGCUGUCUGUGACUUGUCCAUCCUUUUGUGUUUUAUUCCCAUUGAUCUUUGCCCCAUUUUCUAUGUUAAAGCCAUACCCCUCUGGAGAUAUUAUUGUUUACAUUUCCAAGCUGCUCUCAUUCUUCCUCCCUAACAUUCAUGUAUGUUAUUUACGCUAACCAGGAAUCUCUUGUCUUCUGUGCCCCCAGCCCCUCCUUUUGCUGCCCCCCUUAACCUUCUCAGGUUUUCUGUAUUGUAUACUGACUUCCAUUCUCCCUGCCGUUCCCUACCCUUCCUGCCCCAUUUAGAUCCAUUACCUGUCCAUGUUUUAA